rnacentral:tRNA from 1 species
GCGGGAAUAGCUCAGUUGGUAGAGCCACGACCUUGCCAAGGUCGGGGUCGCGAGUUCGAGUCUCGUUUCCCGCUCCA